AUGCUGAGAACGCUCGACGCUGGCAUGUUUGCAGAACUUACCAAACGAUCUGUCAGGGCCAAAUCAGGUCACUCCUCAGGAGCCACGUUUUGUCUACAAAACUCCCCAAAUUCAAAGGCAUGUCUGGAACCUGAGGCCUUCUACCAAAACUGGGAGGGGAGAAGGUGCAAACUGAAGUACAUUUGAAAUCCCCAUCAAGCCAGCCUUCAACACACGUCUCCUAUAUGCCCCGUUUCCUUGCCCAACAUGGCUCCAGGAUGAGAACGACGGUCUGCGACUCAAGGGUGAACGCUUCACGGGAGCCGUAGUCUUAGUGAGCGAGCCAAGGGUAAACUCGCUUGGGGUGACUCCUUUCUUAAACAGCUUCGGAAAUAUUUAGUCUCUGUUGCUGAACAGAUUGUGAGGGAACCGUAACCAGAGGAGGUCGUCUCAGAUAUGUGCCUGCACACCCACGCUGCCAAAGACCUAAGAAAACGCCUAGAACAACGGAUUGUCGCUUGAAGGCUUCCACUCGUGAAAAGUAAGCUCUCCCACGCUCGAUCACACCGCUUUUGCUUAUAAAAGGAAACAUGAGCAUGCAGAUGGACCACUUGAUGGAAAUACUUCAUCAGGCGGUGACCUUUCUGUGUGUCACUAUUUGUUCUCUCUCCUUCCCGGACAUGCUGUUUUAAUAAAAAUGUGUAAUUUUAAUCUCCUCAAACAUCUAACUGUUUUCCGAAGAUCCUUGGAUGCUUGUUAAAUGGUUUCACAGUUGGAAAUGGGCAUUAUUUGGAGAAGGAGCCUAGUAGGAUCAUUAGGUCUAGUUUCCCAGGUCCUCCUCUGUAUGAGCCCAGUAGGACUGGGAUAGUGCGGGAAGCCAGUGUUUGAAACAUGCGGGGGCGAUUGUUAAGAUCUCUACGUUCCCAUAAUCUUUUGUAAUGAUAAUGUGCACAUGUGUUUAAUUAUGCCCGGUAUGUUGGCUUUGUAUGCUCUCCAGCGAAUACGGUACCUUCAGAGGAAGAUUAUUCCCACUUGAAUAUUUUAAG
rnacentral:lncRNA from 1 species